UUUCCGUAGGUGAACCUGCGGAAGGAUCAUUCAUAAUGAGUGGUUAUGGCACUUUUAGAACAAUACCUACCCACCUUGUGACCAUGCUUAGUUAUGUGACUUGUUUUGUUUCGAAAGAAUGUUGGGGCAGCGGACAACUAAAUCUUUUUCUAACCAGUUUAUAUCAAGAAUCAAAUCAUGAAUUAACAUAUUUAUAAAAAAAAACAUUUAACAACAGAACUCUUUGCUCUCGCACCGCUGAAGAACGCAGCAGAUCGGAAGAGAACACGUCUGUACACC
rnacentral:misc_RNA from 1 species